rnacentral:rRNA from 1 species
GUGAACGCUGGCGGUAGGCCUAACACAUGCAAGUCGAACGGCAGCACAGUAAGAGCUUGCUCUUACGGGUGGCGAGUGGCGGACGGGUGAGGAAUACAUCGGAAUCUACUUUUUCGUGGGGGAUAACGUAGGGAAACUUACGCUAAUACCGCAUACGGCCUACGGGUGAAAGCAGGGGAUCUUCGGACCUUGCGCGAUUGAAUGAGCCGAUGUCGGAUUAGCUAGUUGGCGGGGUAAAGGCCCACCAAGGCGACGAUCCGUAGCUGGUCUGAGAGGAUGAUCAGCCACACUGGAACUGAGACACGGUCCAGACUCCUACGGGAGGCAGCAGUGGGGAAUAUUGGACAAUGGGCGCAAGCCUGAUCCAGCCAUACCGCGUGGGUGAAGAAGGCCUUCGGGUUGUAAAGCCCUUUUGUUGGGAAAGAAAAGCAGCAGGUUAAUACCCCGCUGUUCUGACGGUACCCAAAGAGUAAGCACCGGCUAACUUCGUG